GUCGCUUUGGCCGAGUAGUUAAGGCGUGUGCCUGCUAAGUACCCCUCAAGCGACG
rnacentral:tRNA from 1 species